rnacentral:rRNA from 1 species
GGCAAUCUGCCCUUCACUCUGGGACAAGCCCUGGAAACGGGGUCUAAUACCGGAUAACACUCUGUCCUGCAUGGGACGGGGUUAAAAGCUCCGGCGGUGAAGGAUGAGCCCGCGGCCUAUCAGCUUGUUGGUGGGGUAAUGGCCUACCAAGGCGACGACGGGUAGCCGGCCUGAGAGGGCGACCGGCCACACUGGGACUGAGACACGGCCAAAACUACUACGGGAGGCAGCAGUGGGGAAUAUUGCACAAUGGGCGAAAGCCUGAUGCAGCGACGCCGCGUGAGGGAUGACGGCCUUCGGGUUGUAAACCUCUUUCAGCAGGGAAGAAGCGAAAGUGACGGUACCUGCAGAAGAAGCGCCGGCUAACUACGUGCCAGCAGCCGCGGUAAUACGUAGGGCGCAAGCGUUGUCCGGAAUUAUUGGGCGUAAAGAGCUCGUAGGCGGCUUGUCACGUCGGAUGUGAAAGCCCGGGGCUUAACCCCGGGUCUGCAUUCGAUACGGGCUAGCUAGAGUGUGGUAGGGGAGAUCGGAAUUCCUGGUGUAGCGGUGAAAUGCGCAGAUAUCAGGAGGAACACCGGUGGCGAAGGCGGAUCUCUGGGCCAUUACUGACGCUGAGGAGCGAAAGCGUGGGGAGCGAACAGGAUUAGAUACCCUGGUAGUCCACGCCGUAAACGUUGGGGAACUAGGUGUUGGCGACAUUCCACGUCGUCGGGUGCCGCAGCUAACGCAUUAAGUUCCCCGCCUGGGGGAGUACGG